GCCUCUCCUCGCCCCGCUAUCUGUUAUCUGCUGAGCAGAGAAAUGGCUUCCAUGUCUGUAACCUGCUUCUCUCCACAAGCUCUAGCGCGCCCGAGAACUCAAAACCCUAAACGUAAAAAAUACUCUCCAGAGAAACAUUCUCGUAUCGCUAAUGGGAACCGCAGCUCUAAUUUCAAGCCUCAAAAGAGUAAGAACAAGUCUGUGCCACCACCGCUAGCUGGCGGCGAAGCUACCACUUAUACCAGCCUUCCUCCAAGAGAAGAUUUCACGGUUCCUUCACUCAGUUUUGCUGCAGCGGAAAUUAAGCUCUCCCAUUCAAGUGUAGCGCAAAUUAAUAGUGACAGUAAGGUUAACCGUUUAAGCAGCAAAGGAGAAGAAGAAGAAGAAGAAGAAGAUGAUGAUGAAAUCAAUGGAAAUUUUCCGGUUGAUUCUGGGAAAUCUGAAUAUGAUGGUGAUGAAUGCGUUUACUCGAGUGAAGAAAAAAAUGUUUUCAAUGAGAAAAGUUUAAAUGAUCGUAAUAGCAAUUGUAAUGAAGCACAGGAGAUUGAGGAGUUUGCCAAUGGCGAAACCUCAAAUUUACCGGAUUUCGAGAAUAUAGACUUGAAGGAGAAAGGAGUGCCAGCAGUAAUGCGAUGCUUCGAUCGCGCCAAAAUUUACGUGAGAGCCGGAGAUGGUGGAAAUGGCGUCGUAGCAUUUCGGCGAGAGAAGUUUGUGCCCAUGGGUGGUCCGUCCGGUGGGGAUGGAGGGAGAGGGGGACAUGUGUAUGUAGAAGUCGAUGGUUCGAUGAAUUCGUUGUUGCCAUUUAGGAACAAAGUGCAUUUCAGGGGGGGAAGAGGGUCUCACGGGAUGGGGAUGAUGCAAGAUGGGGCGAGAGGAGAGGACGUGGUAGUGAAAGUGCCACCAGGAACGGUUGUUAUGGAGGCGGGUAAAGAGGAGGUAUUGUUGGAGUUGUUGCAUCCAGGACAACGGGCUCUUUUGUUGCGAGGUGGAAGAGGUGGCAGAGGGAAUGCGGCUUUUAAGUGUGGCAGCAAUAAGGUGCCCAAAAUUGCAGAGAACGGUGAAGAAGGUGUAGAAAUGUGGUUGGAGCUCGAGCUAAAGCUUGUUGCUGAUGUUGGAAUCGUGGGUGCCCCAAAUGCUGGGAAAAGUACAUUUUUGAGUGUGAUAAGUGCUGCACAGCCAACAAUAGCAAAUUAUCCUUUUACUACUUUACUUCCUAACCUCGGUGUAGUUUCAUUUGAUUAUGAUUCCACAUUGGUAGUAGCAGACCUGCCUGGUCUGCUUGAAGGAGCACAUUCUGGUUUUGGCUUGGGCCAUGAGUUUCUACGACACACAGAAAGGUGUUCUGCCCUGGUGCAUAUUGUUGAUGGCUCCUCCCAGCAACCAGAAUUUGAGUAUGAUGCUGUUCGUCUUGAGCUGGAAAUGUUUAAUCCAGAACUUGCUGAGAAACCUUUUGUAGUUGCCUAUAACAAAAUGGACCUUCCAGACGCAUAUGAAAAUUGGUUAUCAUUCAAGGAAAAGCUACAAGCUCGUGGAAUUGUGCCUUUCUGCAUGAGUGCUGUGAAGAGAGAAGGCACUUAUGAAGUGAUAAGUGCUGCUUACGAGCUUCUAAGAAAAUAUAAAGAAUCCAAUCAGGAGUUUGAAGGUUUGACAGAGCCAGGAAAUUUGGAUCAUGUAGCUGAUAUGGUACAGAAGCGGCGGAGAGCCCCUAUCACGGACUUUGAGAUCCUUUAUGAUAGUGGUUCCAAUUUUUGGCAAAUUGUUGGCACUGGUUUGGAUCGAUUUGUUCAGAUGACAAAUUGGAGCUAUGGGGACUCUGUAAGAAGGUUCCAGCAUGUUUUGGCAGCUUGUGGUGUGGAUAAGGCUCUCAAAAAAAAGGGUGUCAAAGAAGGUGACACAGUAUAUGUCGGAGGGAUGGCAAUGGUGUGGAAUGAUUCUUCCACCGAUAGUUCCAGUCCAUCCAAUAUGAAAUCCAAAUGGCCGCAGUUGAUGUAGUCCUCUUGUUUUUCAUUGAUAACAGCAGGCAUUUGCUACAGCCUACAUGCAUGGACGCAUGGAUCAUUGCACACAACUCUCUUAUUUGAUGGAUAUGUUAAUUUGGGGGAAUCGAUGUUUACAAGAGUGAUAUGGACACUUCAGGGUAGCUGCAGCACCCAAAAGUUUUAAGGCAAGUAAAUUUGAGCUUGUCUUCCAGCGAGCCAUGAUACUAAUGGAUGCAAAUGGAUUUUCAGGCACCAUCUGAUAUCCGAAACUAGAGACCCUCAUGCUCAUUCUUUCUUAGUAGAGAUCUUUUUUCAAAAAAUAUUUUGUAGUGUGAUAAUGUAUUUGUUAGUUUUUGCAGAUGAUAGAAUAUAUGUAUCAGCUCCUAAAUUAUGACCUUGUUGUAUAAUAGAAAGGAAGGUUGGGAUUUGAUUAUUGCAUCUGGCAGAAAGGGGUGGGAGAAUAAUUAGUACAGAAAUGUGAAACUAUAUAUGGUAGCAUCUUACCUUUAUUUAGAGAUACAAUAAUAUGGAUGAUUUCCUUUUUUUUUU